rnacentral:tRNA from 1 species
UGGGGUGUCGCCAAGUGGUAAGGCAACGGACUUUGACUCCGUCAUUCCGUAGGUUCGAAUCCUACCACCCCAACCA